rnacentral:lncRNA from 1 species
UUUUAGGAAAAUUAUCAUUUUUGUAGAGAAAUAUUGUAGAUUUGAGAUUGUAAUUUAGAAAGUAGGAUAACAAGAAUUUUUGUUGAUAGAUAGACAUUCUUUUAGAAUAUUUGAUCAAUAGGUUCUUUUUUAAAAUUAGUUUUCUAAAAACUGCUAUUUUAGGAAAGUUAUCAUUUUUGUAGAGAAAUAUUGUAGAUUUGAAACUCUUGUUUAGAAAUUAGGAUAACAAGAGUUUUUGUUGAUCGGUGGGCAUUUUUUUUAGAAUGUUUGAUCAGUAGGUUUAAUUUUAAAUUAAUUUUUGAAAAAUUGUUUUUUUGGGAAAAUCAUCAAUUCUGUAUAGAAAUAUUGUAGAUUUGAAAUUGUGAUUAAGCAAUUGAGAGAACAAGAGUUUUUGUUGUAGAUGGGCAUUUGAUAAGAAUUUUUGAAUACUAUUUUGUAUUUUUCAUAUAAAUAUUUCCGAAACAGCUAUUUUAAGAAAGUUAUCAUUUUGUACAUAAAUAUAGUCGAUUUGGGAUUGCGAUUGAGAAAUUAGAAUAACAAGAGUUUUUGUUGAUAGAUAGACAUUCUUUUAGAAUGUUUGAGCCCUAUAUUGCAUUUUUAAAGAAAUUUUGUAAAAACUGCUAUUUUCGGAAACUUAUCAUUUUUGUAGAGAAAU